AGAAUCAACGCUGGCGGCGUGCCUAACACAUGCAAGUCGAACGAGAAAGUGGAGCAAUCCAUGAGUAAAGUGGCGCACGGGUGAGUAACACGUGACUAACCUACCCUUGAGUGGGGAAUAAACCUUCGGGAAACCGAGGCUAAUACCGCAUAACACCUACGGGUCAAAGGAGCAAUUCGCUUAAGGAGGGGUCGCGGCAGAUUAGUUAGUUGGCAGGGUAAUGGCCUACCAAGACGGUGAUCUGUA
rnacentral:rRNA from 1 species